rnacentral:rRNA from 1 species
GGAAGGGGUGUAUUUAUUAGAUAAAAAACCAAUGCCCUUCGGGGCUCCUUGGUGAUUCAUAAUAACUUGACGAAUCGCAUGGCCUUGCGCCGGCGAUGGUUCAUUCAAAUUUCUGCCCUAUCAACUUUCGAUGGUAAGAUAGUGGCUUACCAUGGUCUCAACGGGUAACGGGGAAUUAGGGUUCUAUUCCGGAGAGGGAGCCUGAGAAACGGCUACCACAUCCAAGGAAGGCAGCAGACGCGCAAAUUACCCAAUCCCAAUUCGGGGAGGUAGUGACAAUAAAUACUGAUACGGGGCUCUUUCGGGUCUCGUAAUUGGAAUGAGUACAAUCUAAAUCCCUUAACGAGGAACAAUUGGAGGGCAAGUCUGGUGCCAGCAGCCGCGGUAAU